CUUGCCUUGUUCCAGAUGGUUCCUGGGCACGUUCUCCUCGUUAGCAUGCUAAUUUAUUCUGACUCAUCAUCGGGAAGCUGCUGCCGGCGGGGCUGGCGCGCACCUCGAUGCCAGAGCACGACCCGGGGGCUGAGAUACCCAGCUGGAGCAGGAGCCCGCCCCGGGGGCUGUCGCCGACGCCGGGAGCAGAGAGAACAGUUGGGGACAAGGCUUCGCGGCAGGCUGAGCGGCUUGUGAUCUCCCCUCUGGUGGCCCUGACACUGCGACAGGCUCGCGAGAGCAGGGCUGGGGACGCAGGCUCGUGCAGCGAGGCUCCGGGUAGAGCACAAAUGUGGCUGAGGCGUAACGGAGGCGCCGGGAACAAAGACCCAGAGCGGAGACCCCCCCACCCCCGCGCCUGACAGUUCCCCGUCAGAGUCAGCGCCCGGGCCGGCCCGAGCCUCCAGGUGCGGGCCCAGGCCCUCGACCUCCCCUCUGUCCUCCGGACGCAGGGGUGCGGCCCACCCAGUCCAGGACACUGGGACACGCGAGACGGAAGGCGGAGGCCCUCGUCGGCCCGUGUGCGGCCCCAGCAGCCCCGGGCUCCCGCGGCAAGGCUCACCACCCUGCCAGAUGCAGAGGGACCUCCCUGGAGCAGCCGACAGCUGAGAAGCUGGAGAGACAGGGCGGGUGAGACAGGCCACCACCCGGCCCUCCAGGAGGGCAGCACUGAGCCCCUGGGGGCCAGGCCCCAGCAGCCAGCCGACCCCACACAAGCCUUCCCUGCCUCGCCCCCCAGCACCCUGGAUGCUGCUGGGCUCGCCCCCAGAGGCGGCUCCGGGAGAUCCAGCCUGUGAGGGGGCGGGGAGGCGGGCCUCCUUCAGCAGCAGCGCCCUGAUCCACCGCCCUGGGCAAACCUGGACAAAAUGGCCUCGAUGACCGCUGGGGCCUGGAAAACUGGUGUCCCUUUCCGGCCCGGGUUCCCUGGCGAAAUCCCUCCAGCCGGCUCCCUCCCCAGGGCGCCCCAGGCCACCCUCCUGCUCAGGGCGGCUGGUUGCCCUCCUGGACCUUGGGGCUCCCUGCUGCUCAGCCCCCAGUGCUCUGCAGAGAGGAGUUUCCUGCCCCCUGGGAGUCAGUGACCAAGUAGCCAGGACACGGUGAUCAGGGUUCUGGAAUCCCCAAAGCCCCAUCCACACUGUCCAUGGCUCCCUGGCAACCGGAGGGCCUGUUUCUGCUGAGGAGGAGGGAGUGUGAGCCAGGGGCUGGGGCUCCGUGUGCUGGGCGUCAGGAUCCGGGAAUGUCAGCGUGAAGCAGGGAACAGGCAGCAAGCCAAUGCCACCUGGGUGUCCUGGGAGCACGGGACGUCGUAGGGACUGAGACGCCCUCACUGGACCGCAGAGCCGACCAGGAGAAGCACUCGUCUGGGGAGAAGCCUGUGUGAAGGGGGGCAGGGACGGCCGGGGGCGUCCAGCCUGGCUGGAGCGGACGGCCCAGCAGGACGCUGCGCGAGAUGGUUUCAGAAGCGCCGGGGCUUGGCGCUGCCAGGCUGCGCUCUGGGUGGGACUCGUGGGGCCUGGGAACCACGGAAGGUUCAAUGCAGACUCCGUCGGCAGGGGGCAUCUGCCACAGGGGUCGUCCCUCCUUGCGGGGGCUUGGCACGUCCCGACCACGGCCCCCACAUUCUUGCCUGUUUGGGAGGAAUCCCUGCUAUGCCUUUAUUGCCUGAACACCUGCUCCGGGGGGCUCCGGUGCGGGACGAUGGGCCGCCUUCACCAACAGGCCACAGAGACAGUGAAAUCGGGCCGUCCGGACACCCAGGUUCUGGAGAAAGGGCCCCGUGCCUCCAGGAGCCAUGCAGCAAGCUCAAGGCAGGGUGCGGGGAGAAAGGGAGGCCCUGGGGCCGUGUCCGGGGUCCGUGACGGCUGAGCUAGGGCCCGACUGGCCCAGAGGAACCCCAAGAGGAGGGCUCUGGUCAGCCCCGCGGGGGUCUUCUCUAACAGGCCCCCAGGGCAGGCCCUGGCCCCGGGGAGACUGUAGGGAGGCAGAUUCGAGACGGCCAUUUGCUUGGGGCUGUGCUCGCGCGGCGGGUGGGGGAGGGUCCUUGGAUGGCCCCCAGGCCACAAGGCCACGCGCUGCACAAGCCCCCACUUGGUGAGCUGCGGCAAGUGGACGGGAGAAGGCGGUCAGAGAGGUCGUGAGGUCGUGUGGGCAUCGUGUCGCGGUGGUCAGAGCGGGUCCUGCCCUGGUGGUCACGGCUUCCCCGUGGUGGGGCCCACAGCCCUGCCACUUCUCACCUCAGACUUCAGACAUGUGGUUUACCCAAAAAAUCCCCCAAACUUCUAGGUUCCUCCUGCUUUUCUAGGCCUGGUUCUGCAAACUCGCUCGGAUUCUGUGAGGUACACGCUGUCCCCUACUAAGUCCCUUACUGCUUCAGUGAUCUGCGGUUGGAUUCUGACUCCUGCAGCCAAGAAACUGAGUAACUGAGACACGGGUUCCAGGAGCGGGCACAUCAAGGGUGCCCCCCACAGCCCGCCUGUGGCUCUCUCCGCGUCCUGAGGGCAUCGUGGAAAAGCACCGAGUGGAACAGUUGGCCUGACCCUGGACUGAGGCGGAGCCCGCGGGGACCCAGCGCUUGGCCGGCUGCCGAACUCCCGUUUCUCCAUGUUCCUGGAGGAAUCCAGACCGAGGGCCGCCAUCCCCUGAGAGCUAGGAACGCCCUUCCUGUGCGAGCGCGGCUGGGGCAGGUUGGAGACGGAUACGGGCCGCAGCAUCACCCUGGCUGGAUCGGCCCGCAGGGCCAGGCGACCGUGCACCUGUGGCCUGGGUCCAGGCAGAUUUGGGCAGAAGCUUCUCCACUCUCAUCUCGGGCCCGUACCCCCGUGGGGCCCACAGAACUCUGGGUGGCUCCCCGGGAACCCAGGCCACGUGGGUUCCUCACGCUGCAGGACAUGGGCCCUGGCCCGCCCAAGGGUGGGAGGCAAGCCCACGAGGAGGUGUGACCUCCCAGCGGAGCUGUGUGUCUGACAGUCUGGUGGCCUGGGACUUGCCAGGACGCCCCUCCCCCUUCCCCAGCUGCUAAGGAAGAAGCAGCAGGAGCAGAAACUCUGGGAGUGCGGAGGAAAGAGCUCACCGUGCAGGGCCCGCAGCUCCACGUGGGCCGGAGCCAAAGCAGGCCGGGCGGAUGGUCUCUGAGGAGCGGGACCGCUGCAGGUGGGCAGACAGGACUCUGCGGGGCCGCCACCUGGAGCCCCGGCGGAAGGACCCUGUGCCGCAGGGACCACCCUCCCCGGGAGGAAGAGCGUCUGGCUCAGGCCGAAGGGGCUGUGGUCCCUUGACACCGGAUGCCCGGGUGGCCCGAGCUGCCCACGGUGGGGGCUCUGUGCCCACUCUGCUCCAUCACCAAGCAGGCGUACCGCCGCCAGCUGCCUGCUGCAGGGGGGCCAUGGGGGGCGGGGGCCGGUCCGCCCAGCAGGGCCCGGUGUACAGACGGCGACACCCACCGCUUGUUACCAGUGCGGACCCAGCACCCAUCCCCCCGGCCACGCC